CGAAGGCCUUCGGGUUGUAAACCGACUUUCUAGCCGGAAGAAAUACGCCAAGGCUAAUAUCCUUGGUGGAUGACGGUACCGGAAGAAGAAGCACCGGCUAACUACGUGCCAGCAGCCGCGGUAAUACGUAGGGUGCGAGCGUUAAUCGGAAUUACUGGGCGUAAAGGGUGCGCAGGCGGUUUUGCAAGCCAGACGUGAAAUCCCCGGGCUUAACCUGGGAACUGCGUUUGGAACUGCAAGACUAGAGUGUGUCAGAGGGAGGUGGAAUUCCACGUGUAGCAGUGAAAUGCGUAGAUAUGUGGAGGAACACCGAUGGCGAAGGGCAGCCUCCUGGGAUAACACUGACGCUCAUGCACGAAAGCGUGGGGAGCAAAACAGGAUUAGAUACCCUGGUAGUCCACG
rnacentral:rRNA from 1 species